AGAGUUUGAUCCUGGCUCAGGAUGAACGCUAGCUACAGGCUUAACACAUGCAAGUCGAGGGGCAGCAUUUCAGUUUGCUUGCAAACUGGAGAUGGCGACCGGCGCACGGGUGAGUAACACGUAUCCAACCUGCCGAUAACUCGGGGAUAGCCUUUCGAAAGAAAGAUUAAUACCCGAUGGUAUAAUCAGACCGCAUGGUCUUAUUAUUAAAGAAUUUCGGUUAUCGAUGGGGAUGCGUUCCAUUAGGCAGUUGGUGAGGUAACGGCUCACCAAACCUUCGAUGGAUAGGGGUUCUGAGAGGAAGGUCCCCCACAUUGGAACUGAGACACGGUCCAAACUCCUACGGGAGGCAGCAGUGAGGAAUAUUGGUCAAUGGACGAGAGUCUGAACCAGCCAAGUAGCGUGAAGGAUGACUGCCCUAUGGGUUGUAAACUUCUUUUAUAUGGGAAUAAAGUUUUCCACGUGUGGAAUUUUGUAUGUACCAUAUGAAUAAGGAUCGGCUAACUCCGUGCCAGCAGCCGCGGUAAUACGGAGGAUCCGAGCGUUAUCCGGAUUUAUUGGGUUUAAAGGGAGCGUAGGUGGACAGUUAAGUCAGUUGUGAAAGUUUGCGGCUCAACCGUAAAAUUGCAGUUGAUACUGGCUGUCUUGAGUACAGUAGAGGUGGGCGGAAUUCGUGGUGUAGCGGUGAAAUGCUUAGAUAUCACGAAGAACUCCGAUUGCGAAGGCAGCUCACUGGACUGCAACUGACACUGAUGCUCGAAAGUGUGGGUAUCAAACAGGAUUAGAUACCCUGGUAGUCCACACAGUAAACGAUGAAUACUCGCUGUUUGCGAUAUACAGUAAGCGGCCAAGCGAAAGCAUUAAGUAUUCCACCUGGGGAGUACGCCGGCAACGGUGAAACUCAAAGGAAUUGACGGGGGCCC
rnacentral:rRNA from 1 species